rnacentral:lncRNA from 1 species
AUUGAAACUCUUAUCUAACAAAAUAAGACUAGCACUUUAUGUGAUUUAGUCUUUUUUCACAAUUAGGCAAGCAAUCGCUAAAAUUAAUUCACCAAAAUUUUCAUGUGCUUAUCUAAUCAUGCUACAAUACAUAAAAUAAUAUUUAAAAUAAUUUUCUCGACCUCAGUUUAGUGGUUCCAAAAUCACUAUUCUGACUAGCCCCAAAAUCGGGCUGUUACAAUUCUCCCACUUUAGGGAUUUUCGUCCUCGAAAAUCUUACCGGUAAAAAGGUUUGGGUAUUGGCUUUUCAUGAUCUCUUUGGUCUCCCAUAUGGUCUCUUCAACCCCAUGUU